rnacentral:lncRNA from 1 species
GUGCGGUUUGCUCCCGAUUUCCACAUGAGAGGGGUGGACUCACCUGGGCGGUGGAAACCCAGGGCCCAGGUCCCCUGCCCUGAAGCAACAUCUCACCUUCGCAGAGUGACCCACGGGGAGCUCUCCCCUCGCAGAGCCUCUUGCCCUCCCUGCCCAGAGAUCACGGCAUCCCACCUGGUCACCUUGAUGCUCCGGAGGUGAUCAGAGGUCGGCUGGGAGAACGACCUGCCCCACACCUCCAUUUUCUAGCGGGGUGGGGGGGACUGAAUGCCGAGAACUGGAGGGCUGGCUGAGGGGACAGGCUUGGACCUCGACCUCCCAGACAGCAUCAUGCAGGUUCUGUUGGUGUGCAGCCUGACUUCUCAUUUCCGUGUGCCAGCUGCCUGAAGUGGACCCCGCCCCAUGGUCCCCUGAGAGAUGGGAAAUCACUUCAGAUGCCAACAUCUCACUUGGCCUAGGACUUGGGGGCCACCUCAGCCCCCACACUCCACGUCAUCAAAGAGGGUAGAUGCCCUCACAAGGCCCUGCCCAGCGGUGGGGACAGACAGUGCUGAGACGUGCCCAUCUCUUUGUACGCUGCAAGACACAGCAUCUCUGGACCGGCCUGCAGUCCCAUCUGCCUGGCUGUUUACCCGUCUCUUCUCGGCAGAGGGCCAGCAGUCUGCUUAUUCAUUUUUAACCUAGCAGAGCUUCUUCCCCUGCCCACAGUGCUUCUGAGGAGGCUAUUAUCUUUGAACAAUCAAUGCUUGGCAGC